GCGGUAAAACCAGCACCUCAAGUGGUCAGGAGGAUUAUUGGGCCUAAAGCAUCCGUAGCCGGCUCUGUAAGUUUUCGGUUAAAUCCAUGUGCUCAACAUAUGGGCUGCCGAAAAUACUGCAUAGCUAGGGAGUGGGAGAGGUAGACGGUACUCGGUAGGAAGGGGUAAAAUCCUUUGAUCUAUCGAUGACCACCUGUGGCGAAGGCGGUCUACCAGAACACGUUCGACGGUGAGGGAUGAAAGCUGGGGGAGCAAACCGGAUUAGAUACCCGGGUAGUCCCAGCUGUAAACGAUGCAGACUCGAUGAUGCAUUGGCAUAUAGCCAGUGCAGUGUCGCAGGGAAGCCGUUAAGUCUGCCGCCUGGGAAGUACGUACGCAAGUAUGAAACUUAAAGGAAUUGGCGGGGGAGCACGGUCAUAG
rnacentral:rRNA from 1 species